UACGUAGGGGGCAAGCGUUGUCCGGAAUUAUUGGGCGUAAAGAGCGUGUAGGCUGCCAGAUAAGUCCGCUGUGAAAUCUCGAGGCUCAACUUCGAGCUGUCGGUGGAAACUAUCUGGCUAGAGUCCGGAAGAGGAGAAUGGAAUUCCUGGUGUAGCGGUGAAAUGCGCAGAUAUCAGGAAGAACACCCGUGGCGAAGGCGGUUCUCUGGGACGGUACUGACGCUGAGACGCGAAAGCGUGGGGAGCGAACAAG
rnacentral:rRNA from 1 species